rnacentral:rRNA from 1 species
GACGAACGCUGGCGGCGUGCUUAACACAUGCAAGUCGAACGGAAAGGCCCUGCUUUUGUUGGGUGCUCGAGUGGCGAACGGGUGAGUAACACGUGAGUAACCUGCCCUUGACUUUGGGAUAACUUCAGGAAACUGGGGCUAAUACCGGAUAGGAGCUCCUGCUGCAUGGUGGGGGUUGGAAAGUUUCGGCGGUUGGGGAUGGACUCGCGGCUUAUCAGCUUGUUGGUGGGGUAGUGGCUUACCAAGGCUUUGACGGGUAGCCGGCCUGAGAGGGUGACCGGCCACAUUGGGACUGCGAUACGGCCCAGACUCCUACGGGAGGCAGCAGUGGAGAAUAUUGCACAAUGGACGGAAGCCUGAUGCAGCAACGCCGCGUGCGGGAUGACGGCCUUCGGGUUGUAAACCGCUUUCGACUGUGACGAAGCGUGAGUGACGGUAAUGGGUAAAGAAGCACCGGCUAACUACGUG